rnacentral:rRNA from 1 species
ACGAACGCUGGCGGCGCGCCUAACACAUGCAAGUCGAACGAGCGAGAGAGAGCUUGCUUUCUCGAGCGAGUGGCGAACGGGUGAGUAACGCGUGAGGAACCUGCCUCAAAGAGGGGGACCACAGUUGGAAACGACUGCUAAUACCGCAUAAGCCCACAGGUCGGCAUCGACCAGAGGGACAAGGAGCAAUCCGCUUUGAGAUGGCCUCGCGUCCGAUUAGCUAGGUGGAGAGGUAACGGCCCACCAAGGCGACGAUCGGUAGCCGGACUGAGAGGUUGAACGGCCACAUUGGGACUGAGACACGGCCCAGACUCCUACGGGAGGCAGCAGUGGGGAAUAUUGCACAAUGGGGGAAACCCUGAUGCAGCGACGCCGCGUGGAGGAAGAAGGUCUUCGGAUUGUAAACUCCUGUUGUUGAGGAAGAUAAUGACGGUACUCAACAAGGAAGUGACGGCUAACUACGUGCCAGCCGCCGCAGUAAAAC